AUUGAACGCUAGCGGGAUGCUUUACACAUGCAAGUCGAACGGCAGCGCGGACUUCGGUCUGGCGGCGAGUGGCGAACGGGUGAGUAAUGUAUCGGAACGUGCCCAGUAGCGGGGGAUAACUACGCGAAAGCGUAGCUAAUACCGCAUACGCCCUACGGGGGAAAGCAGGGGAUCGUAAGACCUUGCACUAUUGGAGCGGCCGAUUUCGGAUUAGCUAGUUGGUGAGGUAACGGCUCACCAAGGCGACGAUCCGUAGCUGGUUUGAGAGGACGACCAGCCACACUGGGACUCAGACACGGCACAGACUCCUAAGGGAGGCAGCAGUGGGGAAUUUUGGACAAUGGGGGCAACCCUGAUCCAGCCAUCCCGCGUGUGCGAUGAAGGCCUUCGGGUUGUAAAGCACUUUUGGCAGGAAAGAAACGUCGCGGGCUAAUACCCCGUGGAACUGACGGUACCUGCAGAAUAAGCACCGGCUAACUACGUG
rnacentral:rRNA from 1 species